UUUUUAAAGACCUCAAGAUGCAGAAGUCUCUAGCUUUGUGGUGUCCUAAUCUAAACUGCUCUCCCCCUUGCUUUUCCCAGCCUUUUAUUUUCCCUUCUGCAACUUGCUUGAUACAGACAUUAAAUCUACCUCUUUUAUUUUUUUUUAUUUUUUUUUAGCAGUGCGUUCCAUAGUUUCAACAUACAGCAUUAGAAGGAUUUUGCUGUGGGAAAAUUGUAAAUUUUAUUUGCUAUAAUCUGUUUUAUGCCCCCUCUUUCUAACCAACUGGGUGGCACAACAUAGUGUGUACAUAUAUAAAUAUAUAUAUAUCCUUAUAUAGAGAUAUAUAUUUGAUAUUGAAUAUCCGCUGGGUUGCAAUAUUCAGAAUAAGCUGUGUUAUAAACAAUCAGGCUUAUAACAUCCCAUAUACUCUGACAUUUUGGUCUAUAUGACCGUGACUAUGUAUUUAUUAUUGGAAAUCAAUUGGGGGAGGGCUAGUGGGUCUUUUUUAAUGUCCCUAAACAAAGCACAGAAGGGAUGAGCUCCAUUUUUGUCAACUACUUGAUAGCCCUGGAUUAGCAGAUGUAUUGGAUAACGUUUGUGUUUUAUGAAUUGGGCUGUUGGCAAAGUCACUCUAGCUAGCUCAGGGCUUCUUGUAUAUUGGCCUGUGAUUUUUUUUUUUUUGCUUUUAAACUAACUUCUUAGCAACGUGACGACUUAUUCAGCAUGCAUGUUUGUAGUGCAUUUGUCCUGGUUUUAUAAUUUUUUUUUUUUUUUUAUCCCUUACACUUGAAGUUUAGGGUUCUCUGCAGUCCAUACAUGCAAGCGAUAAAACAAUUGUAGUUAUGAUACUCUAAUGCCUAAUAUACAUUAUUGUAUAUGCUUUUUGGCUAGCUCUGUAGUCUUUGACAGUAGGUAAGCCAACAAUAUCCCUGUGGGGUUUUUUUUUUUUUGGAAUGGUCACCAAUAAUUUUAUACACCUUACUGUUUAUGGAGAUGCACUCUUGCCCUGCCUCACUUUGCAUGCCAGCACAUUCAGGAUCAAGAGCACUUCAUUGGCAUUACACUUCACCUGAACAAAGAUUAAUGCAGGGAGAAGCAAAGCUAUCAACACACCUCUCUUACAAUAUUGAUAUCAGGAAACGGUCUCUUGGCACAAUUGAUUGCAAAUUAAACUGCUCCCACUGUAGCAUCUGCCGUGCACCUUAACCAGUUGCAGCAAGUGGCUUAUGGAUAUCCAGAUCAUGGAGUACUCUUAAGUGUACACCUUCAGAUGGGUAGAUUUACGCAGUCAUAAACUAGGAGGGACUUCAUAAAAAAGCCAUUCACUGCGUAUUAAAAGCAGAAUUUUCAUUUAUUUUUUUUCUCCUCCUGGUCUGGGAUGUUGCCUACUGGUAAAUGGAUAACUUUACUCAAACAUAAGCAUUAAUUCCCUAUAGCAGUCUCCAACACUGAGCCAUAUUUUGAUGCCAUAUUCUUGCCACAUAAUUUUUUUUUUUUUUUUUUUAAAAACCUCAAACUGCUCUCCCCUAAACCUUUAAGCUGUAUUAGUCACACUAGCAUUCAACCUACACACUUUUCUGGUGCAAGCUUCUGUAUAAUUUUGGUUUUAAUUAUUUUACCUUAAAUGUGUAGGUUUGUUUAUCAUUGUGUUGCUCUUUUUUAAAAUUUGUCUGACAUUUCAUAGGCAUUUCAACGUAAAGGAUUUAUAUUUUUCCAAACAAUCUGGAUUCAAAAACCAGAAGCACACUGACCACUGGUGUUUUUAAGUUGUAGAAUUUAGACAAAAAAUGUACGUGCGUGAGUUUUUUUUAUUUUAAUUUUUUUUUAAUUUUUGUCUUGUAGAUCCUACAAUCCAGCACUAAAUAGUACUUGGUAAAUAGUUGUAGCUUAUUGCUUGGACACCUGGCCAAUACAGAAGGGCUUCCCCCAGAGUUUUUAUCAAAAAGGUUUCAGCUACUAAGUAUUCAGUGUAAGGAUGGGUUAUGUUAUGGGCCAAAAUUGUCAUGUUUACACUUGUCAUUAAUAUGGAAAGUAAAGCAUGUGACCUUCUCCAGACAGUGAUACUUAUGUAUAUAUUCAAAUGCCCCAAAGAUCCAAACCUGGAUUGUAUCACUGUAGGUAUGGGUGCCAGAACCGUUAAAUUACUUUUAUGCAGAACUAUCCUGUUUACAGAUCUUCCUUGCUGGCUCAGUACUUUGGUAAACCAAUGGUGUUCGGUCGUCACUGGUGAACUAGGGCAGAAUUUGGUCCAUAGACAAACAUUUAUGGAUGACAAGCUAGCUUACGUGGGCGGACUAGCAAAACUCUGUACUAAAUGCCUCAAGUAAAAUACCCAGUGGUUUUGGGUCUGGCUUUGAAUGCCUGCAUAAAUCAGUGCCUUUUUGUUUUCACAACUCCUAUUCAGAACCUUCACAUGGAUUGACCACCUGCAUUGGGGCCUAUUUUCUUUUAAUCAAAUUAGACAAUCCACAGCAGCUCAGACCUAAAUGAGAACCGUAGAUAUGACCCAACAAAUGUUGAUUCCAAUUAGUUAUCUCUAGUGUACGGUGCGCAAACUGUGGCCUACAUUUUGCUAGCCAAUUUGACAUAAUCUGCAGCUCCAUUGUCCAGUCGCAAUUCACUGUUUACUGAAAACACUUGUAGUACAAAAUUUGGUGUGCGUGUGUUUUUUUGUUUUGUAUUUAGUAAGCUAUUGUACACAGAUAUAUUGAGUAAUAACUACUCUAUGGUGUGAAAUUGCAUGGGAAUGCUUGUUCACACAGUGAAUAGCAGCCAGCCAGCUGUGAAACUCUUUAAAACCUUUUUAUCCCAAGCAUACCUUCUACAUAUGUGUAAAAAUACAUUACUUUUCCAUAUCUGCAUAGUAAUAUAUUUAUAAAUGGCAUUUCAAAAGCAAUAAGCUUCCAAAGAUUUGAUAAAUCUAAUUCUUUUGAAAUUCUUAACUAUAUGAAAGUUACAACUGACAGUUAAUACAAAUAGCUGGCACAGUAGCCUUUGCAUAGUGGGCAUUUAUAUUGCAUCUUUAAUGUAAAUCCAGAGUUGGCCAUUGGGGAGACUACACAUCUGCAUCAGAUGAAUUUGUAAUUCAGUUUUGAGUCUCUGAUGGAUUUGAGCUUGCUAAUGUGCAAUGCCUGGAAAUGAAACCCUAUAAGAUUCUGGGACUGGAAUUGUAAUGUUUGUGGGUUGUUUCAUUUUUACAAAAUUUUCUUUUUUAUAAUUCUGUUCAAUGAAGUUGAAAAGCAUUAUUCCCUCAGUGAAAGCAUUGUGUGAAUUUAGAGUUGAAGAAAUAUUAUUCUUCCUUCAUUGCCACAGACCUGGUGGCUAAAUAUUACCGAAGUGGGUUGUUUUUAAUCUGUGGAUAUGUCUAAAAAUGUCUUUAUUUUAAUUAAUAAAAAGCAUUUUUAAUCUUCCUUUGCAGAUAAGAUUUGUUUUCUUAUUUUUUUUUUUUUUGUGUGAAAUCAUGAUGGAAAAAACGCAAAGGUGUUACCAAAUAGCAGCCAUAUGCAAUAUAAACAUCGCUGCGUGGAGUCUGUCAUGCAAUAUAGAGGGCGUAUAAGGGGAAGUGCUGGAAUGCAUCAGAGGGCAUGUACAAAAGUGGACCCCAAAUAGCAGGGUGGGAAUAUAUACCUAGAAGAGAACCUACUUCAUGACAACUGUGGAAAGAGUUUGCAUUUCAUUCCCUUGAUUCUUUUUCAAUGCAAACAAAUGGGGGGGGCAGGAGAGUAAACUGCCUAAAACAUCUUGAAGUAGAAGCUUAUUGCCAUACCUAGUCAGGUGAGGUUUGCAUAGUAAAAGUACAAGAGCCCCAACUUGGAAAGUGGUUUCUGGGGGGCAGAAAAGUGGAGGGGGCACUAUAGGUUCCUAUAGUGGCAGAAAACCAAAGUGUCUCAAAGGUUUGGAUUACUUUUAUUUGGUAAGUUGGGUAUUCAGAAAUCGCUUGUUACGGUAUAGCAUACAACAUUCUAAAGACUUCAAAGAAAAAGUCUAGUUUAAAGGACCACUAUAGUGCCAGUAAAACAUACUCUUUUUCCUGGCACUAUAGUGCCCUGAGGGUGCCCCCACCCUCAGGGUCCCCCUCCUGCCCGGCUCUGGAAGGGGAAAGGGGUAAAAACCUUACUUUUUUCCAGUGCUGGGCGGAGAGCUCUCCUCCUCCUGGGCUGAAUGCGCACGCGCGGCAAGAGCUGCGCACGUAUUCAGCCGGUCACAUAGGAAAGCAUUUACAAUGCUUUCCUAUGGACGCUGGCGUGCUCUCACUGUAAAAAUCAGUGAGAAGCACGCAAGCGCCUCUAGUGGCUGUCAAUGAGACAGCCACUAGAGGCUUUGGGGGAAGGCUUAACCCAUUAAUAAACAUAGCAGUUUCUCUGAAACUGCUGUUUAUUAAAAAAAAAAAA